GUAGUCCACGCCGUAAACGAUGAGAACUAGAUGUCGGGGGAACUUAGUCUCCCGGUGUCGCAGCUAACGCGUUAAGUUCUCCGCCUGGGGAGUACGCCGGCAACGGUAAAACUCAAAGGAAUUGACGGGGACCCGCACAAGCGGUGGAGCAUGUGGUUUAAUUCGAUGCAACGCGAAGAACCUUACCUGCCCUUGACAUUGAUGGAAUCCUGCAGAGAUGCGGGAGUGCCUUCGGGCCCUGAAAACAGGUGCUGCAUGGCUGUCGUCAGCUCGUGUCGUGAGAUGUUGGGUUAAGUCCCGCAACGAGCGCAACCCUUGUCCCUAGUUGCCAGCGAUUCGGUCGGGAACUCUAGGGAGACUGCCGGUGACAAACCGGA
rnacentral:rRNA from 1 species